rnacentral:misc_RNA from 1 species
GAUGAAGAACGUAGCGAAAUGCGAUACUUGGUGUGAAUUGCAGAAUCCCGUGAACCAUCGAGUCUUUGAACGCAAGUUGCGCCCGAAGCCAUUAGGCCGAGGGCACGCCUGCCUGGGCGUCACACGUCGUUGCCCCCCCCUCUACUCCUUCGGGAUUGCGGGGGGCGGAUGAUGGCCUCUCGUGCGCCUCGUCGCGCGGUUGGCCUAAAUGCCAAGUCCUCGGCGACGCACGCCACGACAAUCGGUGGUUGCGAAACCUCGGUUGCCUGUCGUGUGCGGUCGUCGCGCAUCGAGGGCUCGAAAAAAUUGCCGGGCUUCGGCUCGACUUUCAACGCGACCCCAGGUCAGGCGGGGUUACCCGCUGAAUUUAAGCAUAUCAAUAAGCGGAGGA